GCCAGGUGUGGUGGUGAGCACCUGUAAUCCCAGCUACUGGGGAGGCUGAGGCAGGAGGAUCGCUUGAGCCCAGGAAGUUGAGGCUGCAGUGAGCUAUGAUUGUGUCACUGCACUCCAGCCUGGGCAACAGAGCAAGACCCUGUCUCUA
rnacentral:SRP_RNA from 2 species